rnacentral:rRNA from 1 species
GGCGGACGGGUGAGUAACACGUGGGUAACCUGCCCUUAAGUGGGGGAUAACAUUUGGAAACAGAUGCUAAUACCGCAUAGAUCCAAGAACCGCAUGGUUCUUGGCUGAAAGAUGGCGUAAGCUAUCGCUUUUGGAUGGACCCGCGGCGUAUUAGCUAGUUGGUGAGGUAACGGCUCACCAAGGCGAUGAUACGUAGCCGAACUGAGAGGUUGAUCGGCCACAUUGGGACUGAGACACGGCCCAAACUCCUACGGGAGGCAGCAGUAGGGAAUCUUCCACAAUGGACGCAAGUCUGAUGGAGCAACGCCGCGUGAGUGAAGAAGGCUUUCGGGUCGUAAAACUCUGUUGUUGGAGAAGAAUGGUCGGCAGAGUAACUGUUGUCGGCGUGACGGUAUCCAACCAGAAAGCCACGGCUAACUACGUGCCAGCAGCCGCGGUAAUACGUAGGUGGCAAGCGUUAUCCGGAUUUAUUGGGCGUAAAGCGAGCGCAGGCGGUUUUUUAAGUCUGAUGUGAAAGCCCUCGGCUUAACCGAGGAAGCGCAUCGUAAACUGGGAAACUUGAGUGCAGAAGAGGACAGUGGAACUCCAUGUGUAGCGGUGAAAUGCGUAGAUAUAUGGAAGAACACCAGUGGCGAAGGCGGCUGUCUGGUCUGUAACUGA